GGUUGACCUCGGAUCAGGUAGGGAUACCCGCUGAACUUAAGCAUAUCAAUAAGCGGAGGAAAAGAAACCAACAGGGAUUGCCCCAGUAACGGCGAGUGAAGCGGCAAGAGCUCAAAUUUGAAAGCUGGCUCCUUCGGGGUCCGCAUUGUAAUUUGCAGAGGAUGCUUCGGGAGCGGUCCCCAUCUAAGUGCCCUGGAACGGGACGUCAUAGAGGGUGAGAAU
rnacentral:rRNA from 1 species